UACGUAGGGUGCAAGCGUUAAUCGGAAUUACUGGGCGUAAAGCGUGCGCAGGCGGUUUUGUAAGUCUGUCGUGAAAUCCCCGGGCUCAACCUGGGAAUGGCGAUGGAGACUGCAAGGCUAGAGUUUGGCAGAGGGGGGUAGAAUUCCACGUGUAGCAGUGAAAUGCGUAGAUAUGUGGAGGAACACCGAUGGCGAAGGCAGCCCCCUGGGAUAACACUGACGCUCAUGCACGAAAGCGUGGGGAGCAAACAGG
rnacentral:rRNA from 1 species